AGUGAACGCUGGCGGUAGGCCUAACACAUGCAAGUCGAACGGCAGCACAGGAGAGCUUGCUCUCUGGGUGGCGAGUGGCGGACGGGCGAGGAAUACAUCUGAAUCUACUCUGUCGUGGGGGAUAACGUAGGGAAACUUACGCUAAUACCGCAUACGACCUACGGGUGAAAGCAGGGGACCUUCGGGCCUUGCGCGAUUGAAUGAGCCGAUGUCGGAUUAGCUAGUUGGCGGGGUAAAGGCCCACCAAGGCGACGAUCCGUAGCUGGUCUGAGAGGAUGAUCAGCCACACUGGAAAUGAGACACGGUCCAGACUCCUACGGGAGGCAGCAGUGGGGAAUAUUGGACAAUGGGCGCAAGCCUGAUCCAGCCAUACCGCGUGGGUGAAGAAGGCCUUCGGGUUGUAAAGCCCUUUUGUUGGGAAAGAAAUCCAGCUGGCUAAUACCCGGUUGGGAUGACGGUACCCAAAGAAUAAGCACCGGCUAACUUCGUGCCAGCAGCCGCCGUAA
rnacentral:rRNA from 1 species